GAAAUGCGAUAAGUAAUGUGAAUUGCAGAGUUUAGUGAAUCAUCGAAUCUUUGAACGCACAUUGCGCCCGUCGGCAUUCCGACGGGCAUGCCUGUUCGAGCGUCGUUCGCAUACCCUCGAGCGGAAAAACUUCAAAAAAGUCUGCUUGGUCUUGGGCCCACGUCCCCACCCGCUCUCGCGGCGCGGUGGGGACGGGUCCUGAAGCGAGCGGCGGCCUAGGAUGCACCGCCGGAGCGUCUUCGUCACGACCCCGUUCCUGCGCGUACGUCCCGUGGCCCGCCUGGAAAAACCCCCUCCGGGGGACCAGUGAUGGCGAAAAGCGACACGAAACAUUCUUCCGACCUCGGAUCAGGUAGGGAUACCCGCUGAACUUAA
rnacentral:misc_RNA from 1 species